UACGUAGGGACCAAGCGUUGUUCGGAUUUACUGGGCGUAAAGGGCGCGUAGGCGGCAAUUCAAGUCAGCUGUGAAAUCUCCGGGCUUAACUCGGAACGGUCAGCUGAUACUGCUUUGCUAGAGUGCAGAAGGGGCAAUCGGAAUUCUUGGUGUAACGGUGAAAUGCGUAGAUAUCAAGAGGAACACCUGAGGUGAAGACGGGUUGCUGGGCUGACACUGACGCUGAGGCGCGAAAGCUAGGGUAGCAAACGGG
rnacentral:rRNA from 1 species